rnacentral:rRNA from 1 species
AUUGAACGCUGGCGGCAGGCCUAACACAUGCAAGUCGAGCGGAUGAAGGGAGCUUGCUCCUGGAUUCAGCGGCGGACGGGUGAGUAAUGCCUAGGAAUCUGCCUGGUAGUGGGGGAUAACGUCCGGAAACGGGCGCUAAUACCGCAUACGUCCUGAGGGAGAAAGUGGGGGAUCUUCGGACCUCACGCUAUCAGAUGAGCCUAGGUCGGAUUAGCUAGUUGGUGGGGUAAAGGCCUACCAAGGCGACGAUCCGUAACUGGUCUGAGAGGAUGAUCAGUCAACAUGGAACUGAGACACCGGCCAGACUCCUACGGGAGGCAGCAGUGGGGAAUAUUGGACAAUGGGCGGAAGCCUGAUCCAGGCAUGCCGGGUGGGUGAAGAAGGUCUUCGGGUUUGAAAGCACUUUAAGUUGGGAGGAAGGGGAGUAAGUUAAUACCUUGCUGUUUUGACGUUACCAACAGAAUAAGCACCGGCUAACUUCGUG